rnacentral:ribozyme from 1 species
CGUAGCCAUUUUGGCUCAAGCCAUUUGCGCUCCGAACCAGUGAUUCUCGAGCCGAUCAACCCAAGCACUGCUGGAGUGUAUGGAGCAUGGACAGCGG